rnacentral:rRNA from 1 species
GACAGAGGGUGCUAGCGUUGUUCGGAAUGACUGGGCGUAAAGGGCGCGUAGGCGGUUUUUCAAGUCAGAUGUGAAAGCCCUGGGCUUAACCUGGGAACUGCAUUUGAUACUGUGAGACUGGAGUACGAGAGAGGAAAGCGGAAUUCCUAGUGUAGAGGUGAAAUUCGUAGAUAUUAGGAGGAACACCAGAGGCGGAGGCGGCUUUCUGGCUCGUAACUGACGCUGAGGCGCGAAAGCGUGGGGAGCAAACAGG